AUUGAACGCUGGCGGCAGGCCUAACACAUGCAAGUCGAACGAGUGGCGGACGGGUGAGUAAUGUCUGGGAAACUGCCCGAUGGAGGGGGAUAACUACUGGAAACGGUAGCUAAUACCGCAUACCAUCGGAUGUGCCCCGAUGGGAUUAGCUAGUAGGUGGGGUAACGGCUCACCUAGGCGACGAUCCCUAGCUGGUCUGAGAGGAUAACCAGCCACACUGGAACUGGGCAACGGUCCAGAUCCCUACGGGAGGCAGCAGUGGGGAAUAUUGCACAAUGGGCGCAAGCCGGAUGCAGCCAUGCCGCGGGUAUGAAGAAGGCCUUCGGGUGGUAAAGUACUUUCAGCGAGGAGGCGUUACUCGAAGAAGAAGCACCGGCUAACUCCGUGCCAGCAGCCGCGGUAAUAC
rnacentral:rRNA from 1 species